rfam:TPA: Bos taurus chromosome 18, whole genome shotgun sequence.
UCCCCGGUGGCUCAGACAUUAAAGCAUCUGCCUAUAAUGCAGGAAACCUGGGUUCAAUCCCUGGGUUGGGAA